rnacentral:rRNA from 1 species
CUUGGUCAUUUAGAGGAAGUAAAAGUCGUAACAAGGUUUCCGUAGGUGAACCUGCGGAAGGAUCAUUAUUGGAAUGAAAUCUCUAGCAAGAGGCUGUUGCUGUCUAGUAAUGUGCACGCCUUUUGUAGAAAAAUAAACCCUUAGCAGCAACUUGUUUCG